rfam:Gossypium arboreum cultivar AKA8401 contig_56273_1, whole genome shotgun sequence.
CCACCUUUCUCGGCCUUUCGGCUAAGAUCAAGUAUAGUAUCUGUUUUUGUCAGUUUAAUAUCUAAUACGUGAUCCAUUGGAUCACACGAUAUUAAAUUUAUUUUUUCAGUGGGAGAGUACAUCACUGUAGCUGGCUACUGGGGUUCUCGAGCGUUAUCCAGGUUUUGCACUACUGCUUGGGCCUGGCGCACCACAU